UGGGGAAUAUUGGACAAUGGGCGCAAGCCUGAUCCAGCCAUGCCGCGUGAGUGAUGAAGGCCCAAGGGUUGUAAAGCUCUUUCACCGGUGAAGAUAAUGACGGUAACCGGAGAAGAAGCCCCGGCUAACUUCGUGCCAGCAGCCGCGGUAAUACGAAGGGGGCUAGCGUUGUUCGGAUUUACUGGGCGUAAAGCGCACGUAGGCGGACUAUUAAGUCAGGGGUGAAAUCCCGGGGCUCAACCCCGGAACUGCCUUUGAUACUGGUAGUCUUGAGUUCGAGAGAGGUGAGUGGAAUUCCGAGUGUAGAGGUGAAAUUCGUAGAUAUUCGGAGGAACACCAGUGGCGAAGGCGGCUCACUGGCUCGAUACUGACGCUGAGGUGCGAAAGCGUGGGGAGCAAACAGG
rnacentral:rRNA from 1 species